rnacentral:lncRNA from 1 species
AGAUUAUACGAAUGCUGAAAUUGCAGCCCUACGUCAGGUGCAAUUGGAAUCAUUCCCCACCGAAGUAGCUCAUCUGAAGGCAGGCAAGCCAGUGUCAGCCACUAGUCGACUGUUAGCACUUGCCCCAGAAUUUGAUCACACAAGCCAGUUAAUCAGAGUGGGUGGUCGUCUCCGCCGUGGUACUCUGCUCGAGCCAGAAAUGGUCCACCCAAUUCUUCUCGAUCCCCAUCAUCCAAUCACUAAGCUUCUCAUCAAAGAUUAUGAUGACCAGUUGCAUCAUCCUGGAUCAGAGAGGCUGUUUUCCGAGGUCAGGAGAAAGUUUUGGAUACUAAGAGGGCGUGAAGCCAUUCGUCAACACCAACGAAACUGUGCCGAAUGUAGGAAAUGGCGAGCCCGUCCAAACCCACCAAGGAUGGCUGACCUUCCUCCAGCUCGAUUGCGCAUCCUGAAACCAGCAUUCUACUCUACUGGUGUUGACUGUUUUGGUCCCUACAUGAUCAAGAUUGGGCGCCGCAGUGAGAAAAGAUGGGGGAUACUGUUCAAGUGUCUGACCACUAGGGCAGUCCACAUUGAUAUCCUCACCAGUAUAGACAUGGAUGCCUUUUUGAUGGCUCUCAGGAGAUUCAUUGCAAGGCGUGGAAAACCUUUUGAGGUUUUGUGUGAUCAGGGCACGAACUUUAAAGGAGGGGAGAGAGAGCUCAAAGAGGCAUUCAAUGCCCUCCAUUCAGAUCUUCAAGCUCAACUUGCAGGCCACCAAAUCAAAUUUGCUUUCAAUCCUCCAGGUGCACCUCAUUUUGGAGGUUGCUGGGAAAGGGAAAUUCGGUCAGUUAAAUCUGCUCUUCAAGUUACACUAGGGGCCCAAGCAGUCACAGAAGAAGUACUGAGGACACUUCUCAUAGAGGUUGAAGGGAUCCUCAAUUCCAAACCUCUUGGCUACACAUCUUCGGAUCUGGCAGACCCUGACCCAGUUACCCCAAACAUCCUCCUUAUGGGGCGGCGAGAUGCUUCUUUACCACAAGUAGUCUACCAGAACUCAGAAAUGUUAGGUCGUCGGAGAUGGAGGCAUAGCCAACUCUUGGCUGACCAUUUUUGGAAACAUUUCAUCCAGUAUUAUUUACCCAGCCUGCAAGCACGCCAAAAAUGGAAGACAGAGAAACAAGAUCUUCAGCUUGAGGAUACAGUUAUGAUCAUUGACCCACAGCUGCCUCGUGCAUUAUGGCCAGUAGGGAGGGUUACCCAGGUAUUUCCUGGUGCUGACAAAAGGAUCAGGUCGGCAGACGUACAAGUUAAGGACAGAACCUAUACUCGGCCUGUAGCCAGACUUGUUAGUCUUCCCGCUCUGCCUGAUGACGAUUAGUAUAUUCCAUUCAGCACUUGCAGUUGGCCUUUUGAUGUACAAAUUCCACAUGUGAAUUUGGGGGCGGCUGUGCAAAAGGCAGAGCACCUAG